UCCCUGGUGGUCCAGUGGUUAGGGCUCUGCGCUCUUAUUCCCAGGGUCCCAGGUUCAAUCCCUGGUUGGGGAA